GGAACCGAGAGAAGAAGCCUUGGCCUACAAGGACUCCCUGUUCCGACUGGAUGGCCAUAGUAAUUAAGGUCUGUUUCCCCCCCAAUAAAAAUAAUAAUAAUGUGAAUGAUAAAGGAACAUGUGCUGCUUUAAAAAAAAAUCAUAUCUGCACAGUUUAGACCUGUCAUUUGCAAACUGCAGUUAAGCCAGAACUAAUCUUUUAAAUGAGGAACCCACUGGCCAUCUCUGCCCUUCGCAGAGCAGUUUUGCAACAUUUUUGAAAUGUUCGUUUGUGAAAGAUAAAUGCCUAUUUACAAACGUGCUGGUUAAGAGAGAGAGAGAGAGAGAACAGUGUUCUCAGUCACACACACCCGGCAGCAGGGAUCUGCAAUUAAAGUGGUUCUGUCCUUUUGAAUGAUGCACCACUGAAUACCAGUUGCGGGGGGGCAGCGGGAGGGAUAUUGUCUUCAAGCCCUGUUUGUGGCCUUCCCAGGGGACAUCCGACUGGCAGAAUGGAUGCUAGACUAGAUGGCCCAUUGGUCUGCUUCAGCAGGGAACUUCUUGCGAAGUCAGUUGUGGAUAUUGUUAUGUACUAAGCUUGGAUCCUAGAACAAUAGGCAAGUCGGAUCCUAGAAUGCAACAACUGAUUGGCCUGCAGGAAAAGACCAAUCAGGCUCCAGGAGAGAAGCAGAAUCAGCCAGUCAGACAGGACUCAUUGUGUAAAUAAUGUAUAUAAAAGCCAGAGGUUUGGGGAGCAAUUCAAUCACUGUUUUACAAGCUGCAAUAAAGAGCAUGAAAUCACUACAGGACUCUGAGUAUAUUUCAGAUACGAUGUGCGAGAGUGGAAUGAAACAAUGGUUUAGAAGGGGCAAAUAUUGAAGAGCAUAUCUGCUUCAUGCAACACAGCCAGUGUUAGGUAAUUUGAGACUUUGGGUUUAAUGGGCUUGCAGCCUUUCUCCUUUAGAUAGUAAAAUGCAUCAUUUCACUGUGGUGAGCUUCCCAACAGCCCCACUGAGUAUGGGACUCGUAGCCUUCAGGAAAUAUCCCCAGAGAUACUUGGUUGGUGCAUCCCUAAUGUCAACAUACAGUCCAAUGGAAGGAAAAUCUGGGUGGAGUCGGGGAGGAAACUAGGCUUGUCACCUAUUCCCUAUUCCAGUAAGUGGCUCCUUAUUUAGUCAUACUUAAAUUUUAACACUAAAUAAGGAACAAGUGGCCAACCUAGCAGAAGCAUCUUCAAUCCAUGGCAUCUCCGGAUAUGGCUGGGAGAGAAUCAACCAUCCAGAGGAACAGGUCCCUGUUUGCAUAGAAAAUAUUGAGCUACAGGGACCAAUGAUCUGACUCUCUAAGAGACAGCCGCCCAUGUUCCUAGAGGGGUUGGUAGGUCUCCGAAGGAAGGAACCUGAAGGGGUGAAAAUACUCUGCAAAUUAUCAGGGCUUCACUUCUGAUAGAGCAGGGCUGCCGUACACCCGGGUUUUCCUGAACAUUUCAAGGGACUUCGGAAAAUUCUGCCCAGAAUUUUUGAUGGGUGAAUCCUGGCUAUGUCCUGGAAAUUCCAGGUGUAUGGCAGCCCUACGCUAUCAGAAGUGCUUUCUUCCCUUCACUCUGUUGCCGCCCCCAAGACACCCUGUAGCCAGUUCUCAGGCAGGGGGAAAGGGCACAGCAGGACUUCCAGUGCAUAGACUUGUAAUUUCUAGAUUCAUGCACAGAGCCCAUUUUUUGUUUCACUUUGGGCAUUAUUUAAACGGAACUGCUUAUUUAAAAGGAAAUGUUGCCUUCUAAGAUAAUCUUCUGGCUUCUUCAGCUUCAACCCAGAUAAUCGUGACUUGGUCUGCCUGCACUUAACUUCCCAAUGGCAUUUCGAAAAUCUGCUUGCUUCUACAGCAUCCAGCUAUAAGAUGAAAGCUGAUUGAGGGGUGAUUUCCAGAUUAGCAGGGUUUCACAUGCGGGGGAGAGAAGUCUAUUGUGAAAUCAUCAUUUCUGCUAGAGAACUGGCAGAAGAUCAGGCACACGAACUGCCCAAUUACAAAAGGACCUAAGCCUUAGGCUUAUUUGGCGUGGGCAGUGAUAUAGCCCAAGCAUUCUCUGGUGACCUAGGCCUCACACCUUGAAUCUGACCCAAUCCUGGGGCCUCAGGGGAGGAAAGCCUCCUGUAUCGUGCAAGAUUGCAUCAGUUCAGAGUAUCUGCCAAGCAGAUCAAGUGACCAUGCUUGGCUUUAACCUGCACAGAUAUGGAUUUGCUGCACGCAGACAAGUGUAAUAAAAUGUAUGGCUUGUUAGGCAGCUCCAAGGGUGGUGCUCAGUUUCAUAUUGAUUCAUGUGAUCUCGUUCUUCAAACAGUGGCGAUUCAGGACAAUCUUUUAAGCAUGUACAGGAUCCAAAGGUUGUUGGACUACAACUCCCAUACUCUCUGACCACUGUUCCUGCUCAUUACAUUUGAUAGGAGUUGGAAUCCAAAAAGCAUUUGGUGGAACCCCCAUCCCAGCUUUAAGAAUUAAGCUUUCUUCAAAGGAAAGGGCAGUCACAGCCAAUGGUGCUUUUGUAAAAUACAAAUAAAUGUAGUGUUUACUGCAGGUUGCAGAAGCAAGCACACAGAUACACCUUGCUUGGUCCAAACUAAAAUCUUGUACCAGCUCUCCAAAUUGAUGUAAAAAUUGGGGUUUGGCUUUUGCUGCCCAACUCCCCAUGGGACUCUGAGUCCCCUAGGUCCAUGAUCGGUCAGAGAAAAAUGGAUGGAGACUGGAUCCAGUGGAAAGCAAGGCAGAUAUUUAUUUUUCUGUUGCAACAGUGUUCCCUCCCCUCCUUCCAAGGAGGGAGAGACCCUGAACAAAAGUGUGCAGGAACCUUUAAAGACUUUUGACAUUGCCCAACCCCCUUAGCCAAAGACCACCCCAAAAUCAUCAUUCAUACAUCAUAGGAGGUGGUCUGCAGCAGAAAUCCUGUCUGCCAGGAUACCUGAUAAUGCUCGCUGAUUACCUGGGCAGCUUGGCCAUUCUUUUGUGAUGGUUAAUGAUGUCCUGAAUGCAUCCCACAGGCUCACCCUAUUCAUACACAAAGACGCCCCUAAGACAGGAUUUGUAGAUGGAAAAGAAAAAGGGAAGGCUUUCCCCAUUUGCCUCCCUUACUGCAGAGGAAUAUUUGAGAUCAUUAGGAGAGUCAAAAUGGCUUCAGGAUCACUCUCCUGUACUAUUUCAGACUCAUGGUUUAUAUAUUUAGGUAUGUGAGUAUUUAUGAAUAUUUAUUAUUUAUUUGAGACCUUAGAAUUCUUAUCCAUAUCCAAAAUCUGCUGCUUUUCGGCUCUACUUGCACACACUUUCAUGCAAAGCUAGUUUGAGAUCUCUAUCCCACCUCCAGAAAGUGGGUGUGACAUGCAUUUCAGUUGUUUGGAACCACCACUGAUCCUUUAGUGCCUGUGGCCCCCAUCAACAAACUGACUUUACAGAGGCAGAGAUAUUUUGCAUAAAGAAGCCUGAAGAGGACAGCUGCUUUAACAGCAUCCCGGUCUUUGUUCCCACUACUGAUGUCGCUCUCCAGAUGGCUAUUCCUAUUUCUCCCCACCCCUCUUUAUAUUUCUUUUGUUGCUGUUGUGCCAUCACUAGACUCUGCCUCCCUCCACUUUGAGGGGACCCUUUCUCAGAGCAAGGCAUCCUGGGUGAGGUGUCAGGAAGAGGACCUGCACUGUGACCACGUUGCCACAGUGGUCCCGCCACAGAGCUACAAUUCUCAGAUUGGUUUAACAAGCAAACCCUCUUCACUGGGAACUUUGGGAACUGUACCUCGGUAAUGGGAACAGGGGUCUGCUAACAACUUUCAGUACUCUUGGCAAACUCCCUGAAUUCUUUUGGGAAAGCCAUGGUCGUCUAAAGUGGUAACAUGGUGCUUUAAGUGGACCAUGUGAAUGUAGCCUCUGUGGAUCAAGACUGCCCUCUAGGCUUCAAUACAGAGUUGAGUACUGACCUCAGAAACCCAUGGAGUCAUUCCAGGCCUGACCUUCAAGCCCUCUGUGACCCUGUCUUUUGCUUCUAGCCCUUGAUCCCCAUUUGCAAGACACUUCUCCCCAGUCCCAGCUCUGCUUUUAAGUUAGACCAGCCUUUUGUCUGGUCCAUCAGGGCAGAUCUUCUCAUGAUUACGGCCUCCUUUCCAGAAAACAAUUUCUAAGAAUCUAGACCCAAGCAGUGCCUCUCUCUCUCUCCGCCUCCCCCAACACUCUGUCUCUGGAAUUGCCCUGCUGACCACAAGAAGUCCAUUGUCCUGGCCAAAUGCAUCCGAUAACAGUUAAUCUGGCAUCUCACUCUCUACUAAUGGCAAGCGGCCAAGAUUCUCGCAACAGCAGAGGAGGAGGUCUUGUCCGUAGAACACUGGCCAUCACUCUGCAGGGGAAGAAUUCCAGAUAUGAGAGUUUGGUCCAGAGCCAUAAUUAGUCAGAUUGCAACUCAGCAGAAAAUGGGCAUCUUGGCGGGCCGGGGAGUGUUUACUUGGUAUAUUCAGCUAAAUGGGGAAAGGAGGAGGGUUUGAAACUGCAGUCAGAAAUCUGAAGCAGGGUCAAAUAUUUCUCUCUCUCUUUCUCUUUUCCUCUGUAAAGAAAAGGCAAGUGAGGUGACUUCCCAAUCUGCACACAUGAAGACAGAGCCAAGACGACAGCCGUGAUCCUUCCUCAGCUUUUCUGGAGCUUAAUUCUCUCCAUGCUCGGAUUCUCACAUUUCAGGGAGACUUUUAUUUGAAUAUCUCCAGGGCGGGCUGGCUAACCCUCAGCUCUGAACCCUCACUCUCGACAGCUUGUUUCUCUUAUUGAACUAUCUGCCAGCUUCCUGGAAAUCCUCUCUGGGAGAACACUGUGUGAAGUAAAUGAGAGGAGACCUGGCAAAGAGCUUUUGGAAAGCCCCGAAUUAAGGACAUAAGAUGAGCCUGCUAGAUCAAGCCAGUGGUCCAUUUCACACAGCAUCCUGUUCGCACAGCAGCAAACAAGAUGCCUAUGGGAAGCCGGCAAAGUGGACCUGAUUGCACCAACAUUCUGGCCACCUAUGAUUCUGAGCAACUGGUAUUCAGAAGUAUAUCGCCUCUGAUAGUAGAGGCAGAACAUGGCCUUUGUGGCUAGUAGUCACCAGUAGCCUUGUCCUUGACAAAGUUGUCUAACCCUCUAUUAAAUCCAUCCAAGUUAGUGGCUAUUGUUGCCUCCCCUGGGAGUGUGUUCCACAGUUUCACUAUGUUCAGG
rnacentral:lncRNA from 1 species